rnacentral:rRNA from 1 species
CCUAUCAACUUUCUAUGGUACUUUCUGCGCCUACCAUGGUGACCACGGGUAACGGGGAAAUAAGGGUUGAUUCCG